UCAUCUCAAGUGGAGGAAAAACCAAAUUUGGUCGAUAUUGAUUCUUCCAGUGAAAGUGAUGUUGGUUUCAAAGCUUCAAGGAAAAGGGUUAUGUAUUGUCUUGUACCAGAAGAAGGAUUUCAGCCGCAUCAUAUGCAUGUUACUUAAUGGACAAGGAUUUAAAAGUGAAAGUUGUAAGAUGUCAAUGAUUCGAGAAAGGAAAAUGAAAGAGUUCUGUGAACUUAAGGAGGAAUGUUGGAGACAAACAUAGCUUCAGCAUUUCAAAGUGUCAUUUGAUCAAAAAAGCAUGCAAAUAUGGCUCUUAUCCAUGUGAUAAUUGUCUUAAGAAGUGUAAGAUUCCACGUCGCGGCAAUGGACACCAUUCCACCUUCAUACUUGGGGACAACAGUUCAGCCCUCUAUUAUUUUGUCAUGGUGCCUUCAGAGCAGGCUAGAAAUGCUUCCGUCUUGACUGCAAACUUGCUUGUCCUCAACCCAGGAGGCUGGAUCGUGUCUCAGUUCCAAUGUGGUUGAUUAUCCUCUCGAACUAGCUAUUGAUCAUUUGCCUUGGUAAGUUAUUGCUUUAUCAACUAGCUAAUCAGACGGGAGCCCUUCCUCGGGUGGAUUCCUUCUUUUGCUUCUCAGCAUAUGAGCUCAUUCUUAGUUAGCUCUAUGCUCGGGAUGCAUGGGUUGGGCUCCCAUUCUUCAUUCCCAUCCUUUAUGUUAUGUAAAUAGAGACUUCCCCUUCCACUCUCCAAUAUAGGGAACCUCUAUCAAUCAUCUCAUAUAUCUGUCUGUAUCGUCGGUCGGUCGUAUUUCUUUAGCAA